GUGUGGUCCAAAAGAGUGAGGGACAGAACAAAAAAGUAUUAUAUUAUGCUCUGGUAUUGCCAAGUGUGGGGAAAAACAAGCCUCCCUUGCCGGCCACUGAAAUGGUCACAAACAUGCAUACUGUUCCGACCCUAUCAUUCUGGCUCAUGGAGUUCAGAAGAAAGUUGUCUCACAUCACAAGGCGACGCAUCUCCCAGGUCGAAACUGACUAUAGUUGGGCUCUGAUGAAUAGCGUAAUAUUAUCCUUUAACCAGGAGGAUGUUACAAUGUAUCUUGCCGGUGCCCACCAAAUAGUCUGUCAGAGGAAACCAACGUCCCGCUCCUUUACUGUGCUGCAUUUGUGCUCUGCACAUAUCAUCAAGGCAGUGUCGCAGGCCAUUGGGAAGCACAUUAAAGACCAUGGCAUUGUGGAGUAUGCAAUGUUUUGUUUUGCGCUACUCCUGAACUCCACAGUAAUGUCAACUGCAAUGGACGUGUUCUACCGCAUGUGUGUGGUUUUUGAUGCAGAAAAGCACACACAUGCAGUUAAAUGCAGCAAAAUGCACCUGGACUCCUGCAUCCUACGAUCCAGCUCAAUAAUGUCCGAAGAACCCAGCUGUGUAAUGCCCAGGAGUGACACCACAACAUUGACGACUGAGGACCUUGAAGCCUUACUGGAUCAUUGUACAUCGUAGUGCAAUGAUGUUACUGUGCAUGGUGGAGUCAAGCUAGCCAAAUGAUCUAUGAUAAAUCAUAUGUUGUCUGCUGCACAGUAGACUGUGUACCUCAUUAUGUCAACACAAUACAAUAGAUUACAGUCUAACCUAAUGCUUAAUUACACUCUAAAUGCUGUGACAUAACAAGUGAAACAUUCAUGUGGAAAUGUGUCAAUAAAAUGUAAUGAAAACAUUGUUUAAAAAUAUUGCAGUUUAAAAUGUAACAGAAUCAUUUGUAAAUAAUUACUGAAGUAACCAACGUAAGUGUAGUAUAAUACUUGAGAUAGUAAUUUUAGUAAAUAAGAAUGUAAAGAAAUAAUUACAUCAUAAUUGUAAUGAUUGAACAAUUGAUCAUCCAAUAAAUACAGUAAAACCUUGAAAAUCAAAAUUAGUGUGUCUCUGUAAUGAAGUGACCAUAUAACAGCAAAAAAAGUUCACUUGUAGUGGCAUGAAUAUUCAUUAACUAUACACUUUCAGUUCUAUGAAUCAAUUUUCUUUUUUUAAUCUACAUAUCUUGUGCAUAAUUAAUGCGUAAUAAUACAAACCUAAUGUCAUUUUUGUUCUGUCAUCCAAUUUAGAGAAUACUUUCUCAUGAGAAGAACAUGCCAUGGAAAAACCGAAUGGGUUGAUGUGAAGUGGCAUGGAGCAGUUUUGCAUCACCCACUUCAAGAAGACGGCUACAGCUGUGGCAUCAUAAUUAUAAAGAUUGCACAAGCUAUAAUGAAGUCCUUCCCUGAGAUCCCUGACGUCAAUUUCAAAACCUCAAAAGAGGAAAUGAAAAAAGGGAGAAUUCAUCUCGCUCACAAAAUCCUUCAGGAAUCAGUGUUUGAUGAGAACACCUGCUGUGCAAUGUGUGCAGAUAGACGACCCCCGGGGUCAGGACCUCCCCUUACAAACUGGGU